rnacentral:rRNA from 1 species
CCUACGGGGGGCAGCAGUGGGGAAUAUUGCACAAUGGGGGGAACCCUGAUGCAGCGACGCCGCGUGAGUGAAGAAGGAUUUCGGUAUGUAAAGCUCUAUCAGCAGGGAAGAAGAUGACGGUACCUGACUAAGAAGCCCCGGCUAACUACGUGCCAGCAGCCGCGGUAAUACGUAGGGGGCAAGCGUUAUCCGGAUUUACUGGGUGGAAAGGGAGCGUAGACGGCAGGGCAAGUCUGGAGUGAAGGCCCGGGGCCCAACCCCGGGACUGCUUUGGAAACUGCCAUGCUAGAGUGCUGGAGAGGUAAGCGGAAUUCCUAGUGUAGCGGUGAAAUGCGUAGAUAUUGCGCAGAACUCCGAUUGCGAAGGCAGCAUGCCGGCUCCACACUGACGCUGAGGCACGAAAGCGUGGGUAUCGAACAGGAUUAGAUACCCGAGUAGUC